GAGUUUGAUCCUGGCUCAGAACGAACGCUGGCGGCAGGCCUAACACAUGCAAGUCGAGCGCGCCUUCGGGUGAGCGGCGGACGGGUUAGUAACGCGUGGGAACGUGCCCUUCUCUACGGAAUAGCCUCUGGAAACGGAGAGUAAUACCGUAUACGCCCUUUGGGGGAAAGAUUUAUCGGAGAAGGAUCGGCCCGCGUUAGAUUAGGUAGUUGGUGGGGUAACGGCCUACCAAGCCUACGAUCUAUAGCUGGUUUUAGAGGAUGAUCAGCAACACUGGGACUGAGACACGGCCCAGACUCCUACGGGAGGCAGCAGUGGGGAAUCUUAGACAAUGGGGGCAACCCUGAUCUAGCCAUGCCGCGUGAGUGAUGAAGGCCUUAGGGUCGUAAAGCUCUUUCGCCUGUGAUGAUAAUGACAGUAGCAGGUAAAGAAACCCCGGCUAACUCCGUGCCAGCAGCCGCGGUAAUACGGAGGGGGUUAGCGUUGUUCGGAAUUACUGGGCGUAAAGCGCGCGUAGGCGGAUUAGAAAGUUGGGGGUGAAAUCCCGGGGCUCA
rnacentral:rRNA from 1 species